rnacentral:rRNA from 2 species
GGUUAAGUGGGAAACGAUGUGGGAAGGCCCAGACAGCCAGGAUGUUGGCUUAGAAGCAGCCAUCAUUUAAAGAAAGCGUAAUAGCUCACUGGUCGAGUCGGCCUGCGCGGAAGAUGUAACGGGGCUAAACCAUGCACCGAAGCUGCGGCAGCGACACUGUGUGUUGUUGGGUAGGGGAGCGUUCUGUAAGCCUGUGAAGGUGUGUCGUGAGGCAUGCUGGAGGUAUCAGAAGUGCGAAUGCUGACAUAAGUAACGAUAAAGCGGGUGAAAAGCCCGCUCGCCGGAAGACCAAGGGUUCCUGUCCAACGUUAAUCGGGGCAGGGUGAGUCGACCCCUAAGGCGAGGCCGAAAGGCGUAGUCGAUGGGAAACGGGUUAAUAUUCCCGUACUUGGUGUUACUGCGAAGGGGGGACGGAGAAGGCUAUGUUGGCCGGGCGACGGUUGUCCCGGUUUAAGCGUGUAGGUGUGUGUUCCAGGUAAAUCCGGUUCACUUUAACACUGAGGCGUGACGACGAGGCACUACGGUGCUGAAGCAACAAAUGCCCUGCUUCCAGGAAAAGCCUCUAAGCAUCAGGUAACAUCAAAUCGUACCCCAAACCGACACAGGUGGUCAGGUAGAGAAUACCAAGGCGCUUGAGAGAACUCGGGUGAAGGAACUAGGCAAAAUGGUGCCGUAACUUCGGGAGAAGGCACGCUGACACGUAGGUGAAGUGAUUUACUCAUGGAGCUGAAGUCAGUCGAAGAUACCAGCUGGCUGCAACUGUUUAUUAAAAACACAGCACUGUGCAAACACGAAAGUGGACGUAUACGGUGUGACGCCUGCCCGGUGCCGGAAGGUUAAUUGAUGGGGUCAGCGCAAGCGAAGCUCCUGAUCGAAGCCCCGGUAAACGGCGGCCGUAACUAUAACGGUCCUAAGGUAGCGAAAUUCCUUGUCGGGUAAGUUCCGACCUGCACGAAUGGCGUAAUGAUGGCCAGGCUGUCUCCACCCGAGACUCAGUGAAAUUGAACUCGCUGUGAAGAUGCAGUGUACCCGCGGCAAGACGGAAAGACCCCGUGAACCUUUACUAUAGCUUGACACUGAACAUUGAGCCUUGAUGUGUAGGAUAGGUGGGAGGCUUUGAAGUGUGGACGCCAGUCUGCAUGGAGCCGACCUUGAAAUACCACCCUUUAAUGUUUGAUGUUCUAACGUGGACCCGUUACCCGGGUUGCGGACAGUGUCUGGUGGGUAGUUUGACUGGGGCGGUCUCCUCCUAAAGAGUAACGGAGGAGCACGAAGGUUGGCUAAUCCUGGUCGGACAUCAGGAGGUUAGUGCAAUGGCAUAAGCCAGCUUGACUGCGAGCGUGACGGCGCGAGCAGGUGCGAAAGCAGGUCAUAGUGAUCCGGUGGUUCUGAAUGGAAGGGCCAUCGCUCAACGGAUAAAAGGUACUCCGGGGAUAACAGGCUGAUACCGCCCAAGAGUUCAUAUCGACGGCGGUGUUUGGCACCUCGAUGUCGGCUCAUCACAUCCUGGGGCUGAAGUAGGUCCCAAGGGUAUGGCUGUUCGCCAUUUAAAGUGGUACGCGAGCUGGGUUUAGAACGUCGUGAGACAGUUCGGUCCCUAUCUGCCGUGGGCGCUGGAGAACUGAGGGGGGCUGCUCCUAGUACGAGAGGACCGGAGUGGACGCAUCACUGGUGUUCGGGUUGUCAUGCCAAUGGCACUGCCCGGUAGCUAAAUGCGGAAGAGAUAAGUGCUGAAAGCAUCUAAGCACGAAACUUGCCCCGA